CUUUCUAAACCAUAUGAACAAACAGGGAAAACAUGCCAUUUGAAUCAAAACAGUAGAAAAGAUCUCCAGAAACUAUUAUCCUAAAUUACCAUGAACAUGUCCCUGACCACAACAUUGACCUUGGCCACAUCCAUGACAAUUCCCCUGACCGCUUCCCUGUCCGGCGCCGCAUCCCUGGCCACUUCCGUUGCCUCUUCCCUGACCAGCACCCUCACCAGCUCCUGCGCCCUGACCAGCUCCGCUUCCGUCUCCGCUUCCCUGUCCAGCUCCGCUUCCCUCGCCGCUUCCCUGUCCAGCUCUGCUUCCCUGUCCAGCUCCGCUUCCCUGUCCAGCUCCAGCGCCCUGACCAGCCCCUGCGCCGCUUCCCUCUCCAGCUCAUGCGCCGCUUCCCUCUCCAGCUCCUGCGCCGCUUCCCUCUCCAGCUCCUGCGCCG